rnacentral:rRNA from 1 species
AGUGAACGCUGGCGGUAGGCCUAACACAUGCAAGUCGAACGGCAGCACAGUAAGAGCUUGCUCUUACGGGUGGCGAGUGGCGGACGGGUGAGGAAUACAUCGGAAUCUACUUUUUCGUGGGGGAUAACGUAGGGAAACUUACGCUAAUACCGCAUACGACCUACGGGUGAAAGCAGGGGAUCUUCGGACCUUGCGCGAUUGAAUGAGCCGAUGUCGGAUUAGCUAGUUGGCGGGGUAAAGGCCCACCAAGGCGACGAUCCGUAGCUGGUCUGAGAGGAUGAUCAGCCACACUGGAACUGAGACACGGUCCAGACUCCUACGGGAGGCAGCAGUGGGGAAUAUUGGAAAAUGGGCGCAAGCCUGAUCCAGCCAUACCGCGUGGGUGAAGAAGGCCUUCGGGUUGUAAAGCCCUUUUGUUGGGAAAGAAAAGCAGCAGGUUAAUACCCCGCUGUUCUGACGGUACCCAAAGAAUAAGCACCGGCUAACUUCGU